rnacentral:rRNA from 1 species
GCUAGCAGCUAGCUCUCUGCAACUCUCACAUGGUCGCCCACUGAAGCUAAGCAGGGCUGUGCCCGGUCAGUACCUGGAUGGGAGACCACAUGGGAAAGCUAGGUUGCUGCCGGAA